rnacentral:lncRNA from 1 species
AACUGUUAAGAUGUUUUAUUUAAAAAGGAAAAAAAAUCUUACAACCUCAAACCUUUCCAGUGUCUUCACACCCAAAAUGGAACCCAAAAUGGAACCCUAUUAACAAGGACUCUGGUCAAAAGUAACACACUAUAAAAGGAAUAAGGUGCUAUUCCGGAAUACACACACUGUAUGCAUUGCAUUCACUUCCAUGGCAACUAAAGUAAAAAAAAAAGUAAAAAAACUAUUAUAUACAUCUCUAAAGAGUGACUUAAAUCAAAGUGAUUCUAUGGCUCGACGCAGUGAGACACUGUGUACACGUAAUAGGGUCCGGGUCAAAAAUAGUGCCCUACAUAAAGAGAAUAGGGUGCCAUUUGAGGGGAUGUACAAUCCUUUACAGCUAGACCUCCUGCUUUGCUUCAGCAGAGGAGGAGAGUAGAUACCUGAGUAGCUUUAGGUACGAUCACCCGCGUACGGCGUACCCAAACGGAUCACCCGCGUACAGCAUACCCAAACUGAUCACCCGCGUACAGUAUACCCAAACUGAAAACCCGCGUACAGUAUACCCAAACUGAUCACCCACGUACAGUAUACCCAAACUGAUCACCCGCGUACCCAAACUGAUCACCCGCGUACAGCAUACCCAAACUGAUCACCCGCGUACAGCAUACCCAAACUGAUCACCCGCGUACGGCAUACCCAAACUGAUCACCCGCGUACAGUAUACCCAAACUGAAAACCCGCGCACGGCAUACCCAAACGGAUCACCCGCGUACAGCAUACCCAAACGGAUCACCCGCGUACAGCAUACCCAAACGGAUCACCCACGUACAGUAUACCCAAACUGAUCACCCACGUACAGCAUACCCAAACUGAUCACCCCGCGCACGGCAUACCCAAACGGAUCACCCCGCGUACAGCAUACCCAAACUGAUCACCCCGCGUACAGCAUACCCAAACUGAUCACCCCGCGUACAGCAUACCCAAACUGAUCACCCCGCGUACAGCAUACCCAAACUGAUCACCCCGCGUACAGCAUACCCAAACGGAUCACCCCGCGUACAGCAUACCCAAACUGAUCACCCCACGUACAGCAUACCCAAUCUGAUCACCCCACAUACAGCAUACCCAAACUGAUCACCCCGCGUUCAGCAUAGCCAAACUGAUCACCCGCGUCCAGUAUACCCAAACGGAUCACCCGCGUACAGCAUACCCAAACUGAUCACCCGCGUCCAGUAUACCCAAACUGAUCACCCCGCGUACAGCAUACCCAAACUGAUCACCCCGCGUACAGCAUACCCAAACUGAUCACCCCACGUACAGCAUACCCAAACUGAUCACCCCACGUACAGCAUACCCAAACUGAUCACCCCACGUACAGCAUACCCAAACUGAUCACCCCGCGUACAGCAUACCCAAACUGAUCACCCCGCGUACAGCAUACCCAAACUGAUCACCCCGCGUACAGCAUACCCAAACUGAUCACCCCACGUACAGCAUACCCAAACUGAUCACCCCGCGUACAGCAUACCCAAACUGAUCACCCCGCGUACAGCAUACCCAAACUGAUCACCCCGCGUACAGCAUACCCAAACUGAUCACCCCGCGUACAGCAUACCCAAACUGAUCACCCCACGUACAGCAUACCCAAACGGAUCACCCCGCGUACAGCAUACCCAAACUGAUCACCCCGCGUACAGCAUACCCAAACUGAUCACCCCGCGUACAGCAUACCCAAACUGCAUAUGAUGGUCUCCCCUCCUGAAAUGAGACAACUAAUAACAUGAGAUGAAAAAAAAGUCUUACUCACAUAAAAUAUAUAUAUAUAUAUAUAAAAAGGCGUAUACAAAAUAUACAAGAGGGGGUAACAUUUGAAUGCAUGAUUUUCUUUUUAGAAAAUAUGAAGUGUGUACAAUGCAAGGUUAGUCAGAAUUAAGAAAGUGCUCAGUAUUUUGGCUGGGAACUCACAGCCUUUAUCCUGUCGGUAAUAAUAUAAACAAUAUUGUUUACCAAACGUGUUACAUUUAGUGGGGAGGGAACCUAGCUGUUAUUGGUAGAGAGGGUCAGUGGGGGAGGGAACCCAGCUGUUAUUGGUAGAGAGGGUCUGAGUGGGGGAGGGAACCUAGCUGUUAUUGGUAGAGAGGGUCUGAGUGGGGGAGGGAAACUAGCUGUUAUUGGUAGAGAGGUUCUGAGUGGGGGAGGGAACCUAGCUGUUAUUGGUAGAGAGGGUCUGAGUGGGGGAGGGAACCUAGCUGUUAUUGGUAGAGAGGGUCUGAGUGGGGGAGGGAAACUAGCUGUUAUUGGUAGAGAGGGUCGAGUGGGGGAGGGAACCUAGCUGUUAUUGGUAGAGAGGGUCUGAGUGGGGAGGGGAACAUUGAAAACUAUUGGCAGAGAGGUUUGGAACUCCCAUUUCGGUCUAUUAACUAAAUUACAAGGCUAAACCUCCAUCAAAACAAAAACAGGCUGAUAUUUCAGGUGUUCUUUUCAAUCAGCUCUUACACUAAAAGGGCAUUAUCAGUAUUGUCACAAUAUUAAUCAAACCUCAGUGUGGAAAUAUAUACAAAACAAAGGAAAAUCUAGUUUUUGACUGCACUGGGCCUUUAAAAAGUAAUUCAUAUACAGUUCAGAGCUACAGAGUACUAUACAGUUCAGAGCUACAGAGUACUAUACAGUUCAGUACUACAGAGUACUAUACAGUUCAGUACUACAGAGUACUAUACAGUUCAGAUCAGUACUACAGAGUACUAUAUAGUUCAGAGCUACAGAGUACUAUACAGAUCAGUACUACAGAGUACUAUACAGUUGAGAGUACAAAUUAUGUACUACGGAUUAAGAGCCCUCUUCAAUCUGGAAAGCUGAAGAGAUUCCGCGGUAGUCUCCCGGUUGAGUCUACGACAUCUGCAGCGUUUACCGGGAGUGAAGUCUCCCGGUUUCAGCCUACGACAUCUGCAGCGUUUACCGGGAGUGAAGUCUCCCGGUUUCAGCCUACGACAUCUGCAGCGUUUACCGGGAGUGAAGUCUCCCGGUUUCAGCCUACUACAUGUGCAGCGUUUACCGGGAGUGAAGUCUUCCGGUUUCAGCCUACUACAUCUGCAGCGUUUAACAGCAGUGAAGUCUCCCGGUUUCAGCCUACUACAUGUGCAGCGUUUACCGGGAGUGAAGUCUCCCGGUUUCAGCCUACUACAUGUGCAGCGUUUAACAGCAGUGAAGUCUCCCGGUUUCAGCCUACUACAUGUGCAGCGUUUACCGGGAGUGAAGUCUUCCGGUAAAGCGGGAUCGUUGUGUUUAUAUUUCAAUCCCGCUGCAAAGCUGGACUUCGACGAUGCUGAUUGAAUAGAGCCUUUAAUAAGAAGGUAUUUGACCAGUUCUCUAACAGAAAGAGACAGGCAGUGAAUGGGAACAUGAUGGUUAUUAAAAUACUUAAGACUGUGGACAAGCGUUUUGAAUGAACCCGAGGAUGAGACGUUAUUGAAGUCGUAUAACACCUUGACAUAAAAGUCAGGAAAUAACAGUGGCACGCUAGCUACAGGUAACUGCCAAAACAAAGGAAAAACACAUGAGGAAAUGAGGGAUACAAAAAUAUAUUGAAAGCAGAUGCUUCAACACAGGUGUUGUAACCCAAAAUUAAUUAAGCAAUUAACAUCCCAUCAUGCUUAGGGUCAAGCAAAAAAAAAAAAAUAAUGCUGAGCAGGACAUUAUUUUGGUUACCACGACAACCCCCCCCCCCCCAUCCCCAUCCCCAUCCACAGGGCUUGAGAGGUCACCGAAUGGUUUAGUGAGCAUUUUACAAAAAAAACGAUAAAACCCAAAGACCACGACCAUCUCAGGUCACCAGAUCUCAACCCAAAUUGAACACUUACGGGAGAGUCUGGAGCGGUGCCUGAGAAAACGUUUUUCCCGCCGCCACCAUCAUCAUCAUCAUCAUCAUCAUCAUCAAAACACCAAAAUAAUGGAAUUUCUCGUGGAAGAAGAAUGGUGUCUCAUCCCUCCAAUAGAGUUCAAGACACUUGUAGAAUCUACCCUCGAGGUGCAUUGAAGCUGUUCUGGGUCGUGGUGACCCUAUUAACACCCAAUGUUAGUGUUUCCUUUUACUUUGGCAGUUACCUGGAUCUUCAGCUAGUAAAAUAUAUACUGUCGAACGCUAUAUAUAUGGGGGACGGAUGACAAUCAACCAAACUGAAGCUACGGGGGGGGAGGGGUCUGAAGAAAACAUUUAUCCAACCUAAUGAGUCUUCUGAUGGACCACAUGGGGGGGGGGGGGGAAUCAUAGUAGCCUUGUUCCGGUGGCCGUAAUCAUAAAACAGUAGGAGUGCUGAUCUAGGAAUCAGGGUCCCUCUUGUCCAUGUAGUCAAUGGGGUGGCAGGUAGCCUAGUGGUUAGAGCGUUGGGCCAGUAACCGAAAGGUUUCUGGAUCGAAUCCCCGAGCUGACGAGGUAAAAAAGAAAAUAAAAAUCUGUGGUUCUGCCCCCUGAACAAGGCAGUUAACCCACUGUUCCUCGGUAGGCCGUCGUUGUAAAUAACAAUUUGUUCUUAACCGACUUGCCUGGUAAAUUUUUUUUUUAAAUCCCCUAUGAUUCUUAAAGGCAAAACUGAUCCCCGAUCAGCACUUCUACUCUGUAAUGCAUUCUGUGCCGUCUUGCCAACUCCUACAGUCAUUGUCACGCCAGCACAAACAGAUAGAGCCCGAGUGCCAGUCUGUUUGUGACAACUUUUUGCCACGCAAGUUGGCAAAACAGCACAAACAGAACGAUAACAGUUAUUCUCUCCUCUCUACCACUGAGAGGAACACAAAGCCAAAACAAAAUUCACUCAGUAAAUUAAUUGUACAAAUAUAAAAUACAAUAUUAUCAUCAUCAACAACAACAAAAGUUAAAUCCAGGUAGACUAAUUAUUCCGAAGUCCUCCAGUCUGUUCCUGAUACACCUCGAUGACGUCCUCGUCUUCCAUCCCCAGCUACAGUAGAGACAGAGAGACAGAGAGAGACAGACAGAGAGAGACAGACAGACAGAGAGAGACAGAGAGAGAGACAGAGA